GACGAACGCUGGCGGCGUGCUUAACACAUGCAAGUCGAACGGAAAGGCCCUGCUUUUGUGGGGUGCUCGAGUGGCGAACGGGUGAGUAACACGUGAGUAACCUGCCCUUGACUUUGGGAUAACUUCAGGAAACUGGGGCUAAUACCGGAUAGGAGCUCCUGCUGCAUGGUGGGGGUUGGAAAGUUUCGGCGGUUGGGGAUGGACUCGCGGCUUAUCAGCUUGUUGGUGGGGUAGUGGCUUACCAAGGCUUUGACGGGUAGCCGGCCUGAGAGGGUGACCGGCCACAUUGGGACUGAGGUACGGCCCAGACUCCUACGGGAGGCAGCAGUGGGGAAUAUUGCACACUGGGCGGAAGCCUGAUGCAGCAACGCCGCGUGCGGGAUGACGGCCUUCGGGUUGUAAACCGCUUUCGCCUGUGACGAAGCGUGAGUGACGGUAAUGGGUAAAGAAGCACCGGCUAACUACGUG
rnacentral:rRNA from 1 species